GAUGAACGCUGGCGGCGUGCCUAAUACAUGCAAGUCGAACGAAACUUCUUUAUCACCGAGUGCUUGCACUCACCGAUAAAGAGUUGAGUGGCGAACGGGUGAGUAACACGUGGGCAACCUGCCCAAAAGAGGGGGAUAACACUUGGAAACAGGUGCUAAUACCGCAUAACCAUAGUUACCGCAUGGUAACUAUGUAAAAGGUGGCUAUACUACCGCUUUUGGAUGGGCCCGCGGCGCAUUAGCUAGUUGGUAGGGUAAAGGCUUACCAAGGCAAUGAUGCGUAGCCGAAUUGAGAGGUUGAUCGGCCACAUUGGGACUGAGACACGGCCCAAACUCCUACGGGGGGCAGCAGUAGGGAAUCUUCCACAAUGGGCGAAAGCCUGAUGGAGCAACGCCGCGUGGGUGAAGAAGGUCUUCGGAUCGUAAAACCCUGUUGUUAGAGAAGAAAGUUCGUGAGAGUAACUGUUCACGUUUCGACGGUAUCUAACCAGAAAGCCACGGCUAACUACGUG
rnacentral:rRNA from 1 species